rnacentral:rRNA from 1 species
CCUACGGGCGGCUGCAGUGGGGAAUAUUGCACAAUGGGGGAAACCCUGAUGCAGCGACGCCGCGUGAGUGAAGAAGUAUUUCGGUAUGUAAAGCUCUAUCAGCAGGGAAGAAAUAGCGACCUUUGGGUCGCCAGACGGUACCUGAUUAAGAAGCCCCGGCUAAAUACGUGCCAGCAGCCGCGGUAAUACGUAGGGGGGAAGCGUUAUACGGAUUUACUGGGUGUAAAGGGAGCGUAGACGGCGGCGCAAGUCUGAAGUGAAAUGCCGGGGCUUAACCCCGGAACUGCUUUGGAAACUGUGCAGCUAGAGUGCAGGAGAGGGAAGUGGAAUUCCUAGUGUAGCGGGGAAAUGCGUAGAUAUUAGGAGGAACACCAGUGGCGAAGGCGGGUUACUGGACUGUAACUGACGUUGAGGCUCGAAAGCGUGGGGAGCAAACAGGAUUAGAUACCCGAGUAGUC